GUGCCUGCUUUAGUAGCACAUAUAUUAAAAUUGUAAUGAUAGAGAGACUAUUAACAUGGGCUCUGCACAGGGAUAACACUCAUAAAUACGAAUAAUCCACUGUUAAC
ensembl:snRNA U6 U6 spliceosomal RNA